UACGUAGGGCGCAAGCGUUGUCCGGAAUUAUUGGGCGUAAAGAGCUCGUAGGCGGUUUGUCGCGUCUGCUGUGAAAACCUAAGGCUCAACCUUGGGCUUGCAGUGGGUACGGGCAGACUAGAGUGCGGUAGGGGUGACUGGAAUUCCUGGUGUAGCGGUGGAAUGCGCAGAUAUCAGGAGGAACACCGAUGGCGAAGGCAGGUCACUGGGCCGCAACUGACGCUGGAGGAGCGAAAAGCCAUGGGGAGCGAACAGG
rnacentral:rRNA from 1 species